CGGCGUUGUCGCCGAAACGCAGGCGGUAAUUUUGAGGCCAGCGCUUUAAAACAAAAACAGAAGUAAACCCCAAAACAAAUCGAUUUUUUCACGUGGGAUCAGUCCCCAGGACGCACGGGGGCUGGCAAAUGAUUGCAAACAUGACGUGUUCGCCGCUUUGCGCACAUUACGCAUCCGCUGCCCAUACUCGUAACAGGUGUCUUCAGGUAUGCCCUGAGGCUUACAAGAGAGUUGAAGAUCCCAGUGGGAACAACAGGAUAUUUGCCUCAGAAGAGAAACCAAAUGAGCCCAUUACCAUCAAGCUGUUGCAAACAUGGAUGGAAUUUAAUGAAUGUGUCAUCCUACAAUGAGAAGCAUCUCAGCGUCAGCCAGCCUACCUAAUGUAUUUUAUCAGGGAUGUUCUGUGUGGGGUAGUGCUUAUCCAUAUGUUAGUACAUUUAUAAACUUGACCUAUUUUCUGAGACUAGGCAGGAUCUGUGUUUGAGUAGAUUUGGGGCUUGGUGCAAAUAUUUACAAAUAUUUACAAACAGGGCCUUGCUUUUUACCAGUGAAUGCUAUGUCUGCAUUUCUAAUCUGGAGCUUCUUUUUUCAGUAAUAGACUUUCUAUCUUUUCAACACUCUGGUUUGACCAAAAGGCAUUUUUUUCUUGAUUAAAUCUGUUUUCUUUAAACCAGCUUUUCAUCAGGAAAAGACUCAUUCAUACUCAAGAUCACUUUCUUGUUGCAAAAAGCUGCUAGUUGACCUUAUCAACACGCUUAUUGUUAUUAACUAAUUCUUACAACAAGCUUUAAGAUCAUUAUCCUCUUACUGAGUGGUUAGGAUGUGGAAGCAAAGACAGACAGAAUAUGUGAUAUUCCUCCAGGCCACAAAUCAUUAGCAGAAGGCAGAUUAAAAAUCCUGAUUCCUUGUCUGGUAUUUAGAUGAUGCCUUUUUCUUGCUAACUUACCCUGUUGUUCAGUGUGCUAAUGCAAUACAGUGUUUCUUACAUCA